rfam:Mycobacterium xenopi RIVM700367 contig60, whole genome shotgun sequence.
GGUGGGAUUGGGGAUGAAGUGGUUGACCCGCUCGCCGAUGACGGCAUACGUGUGCCUGCCGUCGGUGAGCAUCUGAACACCGCGGUGCUUGAACUUCUU